GUGGUGUAGCAGGAGAACAUCGGACUGAGACCCAUGUGACCUGCGGCAGGUCAUUUUCCCACUCUCCACAUUGAUUACAAUAGCUCUCUGGAGGGUUGAAUGAGGCAAAGAUGUGUGCGAGAGUGUUCUGUGUCCUUGAAAACAUCUUUGAGAAAGGAGAAAUGUGAGUUCCUAUUGACAAUCAUGGAUUAUGUACCAGGUAACAUGUAUUAACUCCUAUUAGCCUCCCAGCAACCCUACAGAGUUUUACUGCUAUUUACUCCCAAGAAAAUUGAGGUACUAAGAAGUUAAGUAACUUGUAUGAGGUUACCAAGGAACCAGGGCUGGAACCCUCUGGCUGCAGAAAUAUUUAUUUUAACUCUUAGCUCUAUCAAAACAAUCACAAGGCACCCAGACCAUCAGCCAAAACAAAACUAGGACUAUUCAGUAACCAGGAGACAGAAAGGACUGGAAAAAAAGAGUGUGUGAUGUCUCCUCCUCUUCCCUUUCAUAGACAACGGUUAACUCAUUGCCUGCCGGCUGGCCAGCUGCUUUAUUUCACCUGAGUGUGUUUUUCAAAGCAACUUGAAGAUUUUAAACAGCAUUACACUAUAAUGGAAUAGUUGGCUAUCCAACAGAGCCUAAUCAUUAUAUAAUGUACUUUUACUGCUGUGAUUAUUUAAAAAAGAGAGAGAGAGAGAAAGAGAAAGAAGGAAGAAACAAUGAGAGAGAAAAUCUGAGUAAACACAGCUGAGCUCUUGGUUAAUCUGCUAACCCGAACUCCGAAAGCUUCGUGACUGGAGUUUACUUCAGUGGAAGUGACAGGCUGGACAGAAGAAUGCCAGCACCACAUAGGAUGGCAGGCAAGUACAGUGAUGUCUCUGGGCCUCCUAGGAGGCUGUGGAAGUUAGGUGCAGUUUUUCUUAUGAUGACCAUUUGGACUCUGGCGCCUUGAUACGGUGUCAUCAAUAAGUAGCAAGAUCCUGGAGAGAAACACCUGAAAUGGAAGCCGGAACGUAGACCACAGUCAAAAUUAAGUUUAUGGAAAAUAAAGAAAUGUAAAAAAAAGUUAUUUAUGUAAGUUUUGGAACAAGAUUGAUACUUGCUACGUAACUUCCAUUUGUGGAGCCCUUAUUGCAAGCCUGACAUGUUGCUGAAGUCUCCUCCUCAUGAGGUUCUUUUUCUUUUUCUGUCUUUUUUUUUUUUUUUGAGACAGGUUCUCACUUUGUCCCUCAGGCUGGAGUGCAGUGGUGCAAUCAUAACUCACUACAGCCUCGACCUCCCGGGCUCAAGCAAACCUCCCACCUCAGCUUCCCAAUUGGCUGGGAUUGCAGAUGCAUGCCACCAUGACUAGCUAAUUUUUGGGUUUUUUUGUAGAGACAAGGUCUCCCUAUGUUGCCGAGGCUGGUCUUGAACUCCUGGGCUCAAGCAGUCCUUUCACCUGGGCCUCCCAAAGUGCUGGGAUUACAGGUGUGAGCCUCCAUGCCCAACAGAUUAUUUUUUUAAGUUCUCACAGUGUUAUGAGG
rnacentral:lncRNA from 1 species